GACGAACGCUGGCGGCGUGCCUAAUACAUGCAAGUAGAACGCAGUUGCGAACGGGUGAGUAAAGCGUAGGUAACUGCCUCAUAGCGGGGGAAAACUAUUGGAAACGAUAGCUAAUACCGCAUACUGUGAGAUGGACGUGAGUUGUAUUAGGUAGUUGGGGGGGUAAAGGCUCACCAAGGCGACGAUACAUACCCGACGUGGGAGGGUGUUCCGCAACACUGGGACUGAGACACGGCCCAGAAUCCUACGGGAGGCAGCAGUAGGGAAUCUUCGGCCAUUGACGGAAGUCUGGCCGCGCAAAGCCGCGUGAGGGAAGAAGGGUUUCCGAUCGUAAAGCUCUGUUGUUAGAGGAGCGGUAAUUAACCAGAAAGCACCGGCUAACUACGUGCCAGCCGCCGCGGUAAUAC
rnacentral:rRNA from 1 species